rnacentral:rRNA from 1 species
UCGACCGCGACCCCAGGUCAGACGGGACUACCCGCUGAGUUUAAGCAUAUCAAUAAGCGGUGGAGAAGA